AGUUUGAUCCUGGCUCAGAUUGAACGCUGGCGGCAUGCUUUACACAUGCAAGUCGAACGGUAACAGGGAGCUUGCUCCGCUGACGAGUGGCGAACGGGUGAGUAAUAUAUCGGAACGUACCCAGAAGUGGGGGAUAACGUAGCGAAAGUUACGCUAAUACCGCAUACGAUCUACGGAUGAAAGUAGGGGACCUUCGGGCCUUAUGCUUUUGGAGCGGCCGAUAUCUGAUUAGCUAGUUGGUGAGGUAAAGGCUCACCAAGGCGACGAUCAGUAGCUGGUCUGAGAGGACGACCAGCCACACUGGAACUGAGACACGGUCCAGACUCCUACGGGAGGCAGCAGUGGGGAAUUUUGGACAAUGGGCGCAAGCCUGAUCCAGCAAUGCCGCGUGAGUGAAGAAGGCCUUCGGGUUGUAAAGCUCUUUUGUCAGGGAAGAAACGGCUGUGGCUAAUAUCCACGGCUAAUGACGGUACCUGAAGAAUAAGCACCGGCUAACUACGUGCCAGCAGCCGCGGUAA
rnacentral:rRNA from 1 species